rnacentral:rRNA from 1 species
CACGGGGGGAGCAAGCGUUGUUCGGAAUCACUGGGCGUAAAGGGCGUGUAGGCGGUCAGGUAAGUGGGAUGUGAAAUGCCUCGGCUCACCCGAGGCACUGCAUUCCAAACUGCUUGGCUUGAGUAUGGGAGAGGAUGAGGGAAUUCCUGGUGUAGCGGUGAAAUGCGUAGAUAUCUGGAGGAAUACCGGUGGCGAAGGCGGCAUCCUGGACCAUUACUGACGCUGAGGCGCGAAAGCUAGGGGAGCAAACGGG